GCCCUACGGGGUGCAGCAGGCGCGAAAACUUUACAAUGCUGGGAACAGCGAUAAGGGAACCUCGAGUGCCAGGUUACAAAUCUGGCUGUCGUGAUGCCUAAAAAGCAUUAUAUAGCAAGGGCCGGGCAAGACCGGUGCCAGCCGCCGCGGUAACGCCGGCGGCUCGAGUGGUAACCGUUAUUAUUGGGUCUAAAGGGUCUGUAGCCGGCCGGAUAAGUCUCUUGGGAAAUCUGGCAGCUCAACUGUCAGGCUUUCAGGGGAUACUGUCUGGCUCGAGGCCGGGAGAGGUGAGAGGUACUUCAGGGGUAGGGGUGAAAUCUUGUAAUCCUUGAAGGACCACCAGUGGCGAAGGCGUCUCACCAGAACGGACCUGACGGCAAGGGACGAAAGCUAGGGGCACGAACCGGAUUAGAUACCCGGGUAGUCCUAGCCGUAAACGAUACUCGCUAGGUGUCGGCCACGGUGCGACCGUUGUCGGUGCCGUAGGGAAGCCGUGAAGCGAGCCACCUGGGAAGUACGGCCGCAAGGCUGAAACUUAAAGGAAUUGGCGGGGGAGCACUACAACGGGUGGAGCCUGCGGUUUAAUUGGAUUCAACGUCGGAAAUCUCAC
rnacentral:rRNA from 1 species